rnacentral:rRNA from 1 species
AAUGAACGCUGGCGGCAGGCCUAAAACAUGCAAGUCGAACGCCCUAGCAAUAGGGAGUAGCGCACGGGUGAGUAACACGUGGGGAUAUGCCUUUUGGUACGGAACAACGUCUGGAAACGGACGCUAAUGCCGUAUGGUCCCUUCGGGGUAAAGAUUUAUCGCCAAAAGAUUAGCCCGCGUCUGAUUAGCUAGUUGGUGAGGUAAUGGCUCACCAAGGCGACGAUCAGUAGCUGGUCUGAGAGGACGAUCAGCCACACUGGGACUGAGACACGGCCCAGACUCCUACGGGAGGCAGCAGUUAGGAAUAUUGGACAAUGGACGCAAGUCUGAUCCAGCCAUGCCGCGUGAGUGAUGAAGGCCUUCGGGUUGUAAAGCUCUUUAGUCCACGAUUAUAAUGACUGUAGUGGAAGAAUAAGCCCCGGCUAACUUCGUGCCAGCAGCCGCAGUAACAC